CCUACGGGAGGCAGCAGUGGGGAAUUUUCCGCAAUGGGCGAAAGCCUGACGGAGCAACGCCGCGUGAGGGAAGAAAGUCUUUGGAUUGUAAACCUCUUUUCUCAGGGAAGAAGUCAGUGACGGUACCUGAGGAAUCAGCAUCGGCUAACUCCGUGCCAGCAGCCGCGGUAAUACGGAGGAUGCAAGCGUUAUCCGGAAUUAUUGGGCGUAAAGCGUUCGUAGGCGGUUAUUUAAGUCUGCUGUUAAAGCACGGAGCUUAACUCCGGGAGAGCAGUGGAAACUGAGUAACUAGAGUAUGGUAGGGGUAGAGGGAAUUCCCAGUGUAGCGGUGAAAUGCGUAGAUAUUGGGAAGAACACCGGUGGCGAAAGCGCUCUACUAGGCCAUAACUGACGCUGAGGGACGAAAGCUAGGGGAGCGAAAGGGAUUAGAUACCCCUGUAGUC
rnacentral:rRNA from 1 species